rnacentral:lncRNA from 1 species
UUGGAAAUUGGAGGAUUUUUUUGAUGAGAUUUGAGUUUUUAUUAUGAGAAAGUCAAUUCAACUAUGUUUUUAGAAGCUUGGUAUAUAUAUUUUUUUAAAAUUUCUGACCAUUAAUUGAGCACAUAAAAACUUGCCAAAGAGUGGAACUAUUGGCCUGUCAGGAGAAUGUGAAGAGUGAUAUAUACCUUUACAUGCCUGGUCUUUACUUGUCUUCACCUUUUUGAGAAAUGUCAUGGCUAGAUUUACAUAUAGUUUUUAUCAUUCUUAAAAUUAUAACAACACUAC